UCCAGCAGGCCGCCGCCCGCCGCUUAUCCCCACCGCCUCCGCCGCACCGCCUCCACACCACCUCCCAACAGAUCCCUAUAUAAGAAAGAGACCCAACUUCGCCUAUGCAUAAGGACAGGGCACGACCACAGAGGGACGGCUCCAUCGAUCUGCCUCCAGAGGCGUACAUGGGAGGGGCUGCGUCGAGCCGCCGUGUCCAUCUCGCCGCCCAGCGCCUCAUCCCCUCCGGCCGCCCAGAUCCCCUCGCCAUCUUGCAAGUCCAGCCCAACCACGACACGGCCGAUGUCAAGCGGGCCUCACCGUUAUGGCCAUCUUGGCGCCGCUGGGUUCUCCGCGCCGCCGAUGCCUAGGCCGACCCAACGUGCGCCGCCCGCACCCCGCGUGCGACGGCCGGGGGCUCCGACGCCCACGAUAGCGAGCACGCUCCAGCCUGGCUCACCAUGCGCCAUCUUCCCUGACGCCCUGAGGGUGGCCACCCCAGGACCUACCUGGCGGACGAGGUUGGGACGGGUCCAAGGUUCUUCGCCGAAGUCCAUGGCUUCACGAGCCCAACGACCAGAAGCAGGCAUCCAUGGAGGGAUCCUCGAAACGCCACCCGAUGCUCCCUCCCUCUUCUUUCACUUCUCUAGCUAGCUGAAGGAAGGGCUCGAGCCGAGAGCGCUGCCUCCGUCGGUCUCUGGCUCCCCAGCCGGUCUCCGCUAUCCGGUCCUCGCAGGCCCUCUUCCCCUCCUUCGUUCCUUAACAAAAACAUUAAGUACUUCUUGCCUCUCCAUUCUCUUUCCUACAAUUCAAUUAACUGAGUCAGAAACAUAUUACGGGAUAUUGCCGGUUGAUCGAUUGCUUUAAUUAGUUGUUGGUUAGUAAGUCUACCGCGUGUACACGAGUACGAGCAAUGGAUGUUUGUGAAGGCUAUGAGAUACUGGAAAUCAAGGAGCUAAUUGUUUGGGUCACUUGACUGAAUUGUAACUGCACCAUUUGAGGCGAUUUUGCCCUGGUUUUGCUGGGUGGUAAGGUGGUUUAUGGGAGUUGCUGAGUUGGUGGAAGAUUGGGGCAUUUGCAUAUGGUUGGUACUGAGGAGGACUAUGCUGCUGGAGUGGGAAGCAGGAGAGCAACCGUUGGGAUCUUGGAUUUUUUUUCCCCGAGCAGAAUGUGGGCUUACUACCUUUAUAUUGAAGCUGAUGUAACACGUCAGAAGUUCUCCACUCCUGCAUAAAUGGACUGCAUCAUCAACCUGCACUGUUAAGGUGAAGUUGAAGAAAAGGAAAGAGAACACUGAUUCUUCAGGAAAAACUGGAUAUGGAGCUGCAAGAUCUAAAUGAAGGACUUCGGGAUGGUACUAUUGUAAUUGUUCAUAUGCGAAUUUACAACUUGUCUGGCUAGACCUAUGUUCUGAAUAAUCUUCAUUCCUCCAUCCAUUGUAACUUCAUGUUCAAAGGUGCUUAUGAGACGGAAGUUAAACGAGAUGGGACAAGAAAAGAAGGCUUUUCAGGUUUUACUUGCUUAAAUUUUCUGAUCCAUUAAUUUUUAGAGAAACAUAAUUGCAUAAAUAAGCAGAUUUACUUGCUAUCCAUUGGAAUAAAAAAAUUGAGCGGAGAUAUGAUUUUACUGUUCAUGUUCUUUCUUUUCUAUUUGUAUUGAGGUUCAUGCUCACUCAAAUAUAUCAUGUUGUGGGACUGUCUGAUCCAUGCAUACUUUUUUACUUUCAGUUUGUUUUAUUGAUAGGCAACGUCGUAUUUUUUUUAAUCAAAAAUCUCUAUGGGGUUGGUGAAUCUGCGUUCAUUGGAUGAUCUCUUCUUUAAUAUAAUAAGAAUGGUCCUUUCUUAGAAUAGCAAGACCGAAUCUGGUUAGGUCGGGUGUGAAAUCACCCGACAUGGAAUGCACUCUAUACACCAAUUAUCUACUUCCAUUUUCAUUGGCAUGAAGUCUGCCAUUAACAUACAUUUUUGUUAACAUAUGUUUUAGUAAACGUGGGAAGCACCACUGGGUAUAGAACAAUCGCACCCUUGAUAAUUAACUUUGUCAUUUGUUUCAGACUACAGAAGUUACAAAUAAUGUUACCCAUAUGUUUUGUAAUGUUCAAGUUAAGAUUCUGACGGGGGAUAAUUACCAUUCAUCUUCAAAUUUAUAUUCUGAAAAGUUCUUCAGUUCGAACACUAAGGAAGGCUAUUUCAGUUUUCACAACUUCUUCCAAGUUGGACAAUGAAUUUCUAUUUCUACUGCCAGUACUUAUGUUUUCACUACACCUAUAUAUAGGCUGCACGCAAGUCUGAAUAAGAAUGAACUAGAUGAUUAAGGCGUUUUUCUAUUAUAUAUAAUCAUAUAUUUCUAAAAUAAAUCCCAGUCUAUAUGAAAUGCUAAUGAGAUCUUGUGCUGUAAAUACAUUCUAAAAUCUCUUCAAUCUGGGGCUUCCUUUAGAGUUUUGUUAGUACUUUCUAUGGAAAAAUCAUUAACAAUUCUAUCCAGUGAAAUGCUGGCCCUUUUCAUUCCAACUAUAGGACAACUAUAAACUCAAACUAUGCUGCUUAGCUGUGCUAUAAUAUGCUAACUCUGAACAAUUGAUUUGCAAUCAAUUAGCACCAGACGCCAUGUUCUUCAUUUUCGUCAGCCAAAAUGCAGAAGAUCGAAUUGCCCUUCUCGGCAUCCUGUCCUGCCGCCUCUUCCACUUGAAGCUCCUCUGCAGCCAUGGUGAUGGUUGUGCGCCUCUGUUACUGCAAAACCGCCUACCUCGAGGUAUAGAACAACAGCCACUGUUUUUUGCAAAUGAAGCCACCAGGGCUUGGCAGGCCAUGUCCAUCGCGCCGUGUUGUCAAAGUUGCUGCUACUACCUCUGUUUACUUGGCCAAGAUCGAACUACAGCCACGGCAUCAGAUGGUUCCACAUGUGCUUUUGUUUGCCCUAUAGUUAAAUCAAGUGUUCUCUCUUUUGCCGGCCACUAAGAACCAGCUAGAGUGAUGGCGGCCACAACGACAUGGUGUUUUUCUCCAUUAAAAGCAGUAAGUGUAUUAUGUUCUGAUAGUUACCAUGUAUGUUAUCAGGAUGUAGUUAAUGGCAUGGUUAGCAUCAUGUUAUUUGUAUAAAUUUGUAUCUUGAUUACAUGCAGAAAAAAGAUGUGUAAACCACAAAUAAUUUGUCACUUCUCAGAUUUAACUAUGCAGCUGUAAUACCUUUUGAUAGGCUACGAAGCUCUGCUACUCUUAAAAUACUAUAUUCUGCAAACUUUGAGUCUUCGAGUUAAGUUCCCAUGUUUCACAGAUAUUAUGAAGGAACAUGAAAAUGAAGCGGUGGACUACCUUUGCAAAUAUAGAAAAAUAUCAAUUGUGUUCUGCAUCCAUCAAUAUUAUUUAGAGCACUCAUCAGAAAGUUAGGAUCUAGCAGUUCAGUAGUAGUUACGAGUUUGGGCCCCUUUGUAAGAAUAGAACUUUUUGAUAAAUUUAGUAGUGACAUGCCAGAUGCCAUACGGAAGGUAUUCUUCAAGAAUCAAGAGGAUAUAUAUGCUGAAGAUCUCAUAUGUUAAGCGUGUUAAUACAUGCUUACAUCUGUCAAAGUGGAAAUUCAAGGAAGAGACGCAAUGUAUAUAACCACACCGUAUCGAUUCUUACCGGGAUCAUAUAUAGAU